GAUCAUGAUAAAUGACUGAACAUUUUAAGAUUGUUGUUGCUCUUCAACCAAAAAAGACAGUUUAAUUUGUCACUUUUAUCAUAUCGAUUGAUUGAUAAAAUGUACCAGGUUUCCUGAAAAAAAGCGAUAAAAAAUAUCCUUCUAAUAUGUACACCACUCGGAUUCGAAUGAAUCGAAAUUGAUUUUUUGAAUUUACUAUAUGAACGCCAUCUAUUGACAAUGGAAAUAUUGAUUCGAAUAUUUUUAAAACGGCCAAAUUGACGGUUCUCCAUUAUCGCACACACACAUUUUCUCACUGUGUGUCUAUUUGGUCAGAGGGAGAGAGAGAGAGAGAGGGAGAGAGGCAACAAUUGUGUUAACACCAUCCAUUCAGCAAUUUUCAUCAUCAUUAAUUUUUCAAUCGUUUGUUGAAAACUUCUAAUGUUCAAAAAAAGAAAAAAAGAAAAAUUAUUAAGCAAAAAAAAAAAAACUUGUACAUGGUGAGCACAACAUCAUCAUAUACACCACAAAAAACCAGUGUUUUUUUCACUUGUUCAUCAUGAUCAACGAAAAGAAGCAGCAGUAUCAAUAACAACUAUAACAACUGCAACAACAACAAAAACAAAGUUUUAUAUCCCCUUUUUGUCUAAAUGAAAUGUUCGGUUAUUAUUUUGUUCACAUUAAAAUUCCGAGAUUUCUUUUUCAUUUCUUUCGUAAUCCAAAACAAAAACGAAACUACGACUACGACCUAAAACCUUGUGUUGUUAUGAUAAUGAUCAUAUAGUGUGUAGACAAAUAAUAGUUGGUUUUAACACAUAUCAUCAUCAAAUCAUCUUCUAUCUAUAUGUGGUGUGUUUAUUUGUAAAAUAUAAAUAUAAAUGAAGAAUGAUAUUGAUUGAUUAAUUGAUUUGAUCGAUCAAUCCAGUCAUUGAUUGAUUCAAAAUUAUCAACAAACCGAAAGUAUUUGUUUGGUGGUGUACAAAAUCUAUAUAUUUUUUACAAUCAUUCUUUUCUCACUCUGAUCAUCAUCAUCACCCAUCGUUCAUUCAUUCAUUUUUUUAU